CUGCGGGUCCUCGCAAAGCACGGGACUGACCCAAAUUUCAGCUCCGAGCCUCUUGCUCUUCAGAGCACAACCUCUUGCUCAACAAUUAGUCUUUUGUGCUGCAUCACACUAGUCCCUUUCACCUGUAAUCUCAUCCCAGCCUCCAGUCCCAGGGUGGGCAGGUUCCCCUGGACCAGCUCUGCGCACUAACGGAGAAGCCCACGUACACCGUACCCCAUGCAAAGGAAGCUCUGUCACAGGACGGCACACUCCCUAGAAACACUCGCCAAGGUCAUGACUGAAGAGCAAGCUCGGCUGGAGAAACUGAGCCCCCGACAGGGGCAGCGAGCAGCCCGAGAUACCUGCCUCCGCCAAUUGUCCCGUAUCCAGGCCAGGUACUCUGGGACAAGCUCCAACCGCUUUCUGUCCGCGAGUCUGGCUCUGGCUCCGGCUCCCUGCCCUCGUAUCGGGACAGCCACAGGAAUUGAGGAUCCCGCGUCGCAGGGUCGAAGCCUGUGGGUUCCCCUUUACACAGAUUGCCACCAAUCCUUCCUAGAAAUUCUGGAGCCUCCUCUGCUUCUGACUCAAACCCAGGUCUGUCUGACUCCAAUGAACCCUUUUGCUGUCCUGCCUGUCAGCUUGAACUGCAUGAACUGGAUGGAACUGAAUUGGAUUUGCAAGGACAUGACAAAUUAGAAGAAUGAAGAAAUCCCUGUCAUGACAAUUCAGAGAAGUGGAGUUAGUACAGUUUCCCUGCUGGUUACCCCGCAGUGGGAUACAAGAAAUAAAAAUAGAUAAAAAAGGAGACAAGGAAACUCCAUUAUUUGUCUCACAUAUUAUCUUAAAACUUUGGGACAGAUCCCUUGCCCAGCUCUGCAGGUAGCAGAGUGUCAGGUAAUAUAGAGUUUAUUGGCCCUAAAUUCAUCUUAACUUCCUUCAAAACUGGGGACACCAAGAUAAGGGGGAAUUUUCAGGGACUCUUAGUUGCCAGCUUUUGCAACUUCCAGUUCCAGAUACCCUUGGAGCAAUGGCUAGAAGUCUUCAAAGCUACAACCAGAUCAGUUUCCAGAGAAAGGAGAAUCUUGCUGACCACCUGUUGAUGAGAUCAUCUUCCCCCAAGCAAGAGCAAUAAUCUCAAGACAGGAACUGAGGCUGCCAUACACACAACCCCCACACAAGGAAGAUCAACUCAGGAGACAAAUUGCCCCUCAAACCAUAAGGAUUUCUUCAGAGCGAUGGAAGCUGACAGCUGAGACAGUAAUCUAUUGGACCUGGCCCACUUCUGGUAGUCCUUAAAAGCUGAUCUUGUGUUUUUGUGCCCAGGCCAGUCUGAAUCUCCUUUGUCAGAGACUCUUGACGAAGCCCAACCAACCUCCAAUGCUGCUUGACAAAGUUCCAGCUGGGGGAAAGAAAGGGUGGAACACAUCGUACCCUCAUGUUUUAUUUUUUCUUGCCAUAAUGUUUAUAAUUGUUACUCUGGUCACAGGAGUCACUGUGUUUGUGACUAACAACAAACUCUCCAUGAGGCAAAUUGGCAAUGAUGUAUUGAAAUCUGAUCUGGCUCAAAAGUCCCAAAUUCCAGUUUCUCUUAGUUCUAUUACCUCAUCUAUGUCUGAAAAAACCUCUCCUAAAACCCCCCUCUGUUUUCCCACUACUAUAACUCCCUCUCUUAUUGCUCACAUUCUUUUUACUAAAGGGGUCUUAUGAAGAGAUUGGAAGGAUAGACUUUAGAUGUAAGAAAUAGUGGGAAAUGGGAAAUAGAAAAAAAGUUAAGACAGGAAAACACAUUAAGGGGGCAAGUUACUCAGUAUUUCUCAAAGUGCUGCAAAUAUCUCCUGCUCAUGGACUAUGAACCCAAAUGACACUUAGGUAAGAUAAAUAGAGGUAUAGAAAAAUAGCUAAUAGCAAACUAUAUUAACCAUUGUACAGUUUCUCAAGGGCUAGCUGGUGACCACAAGUUUGACAUUUAAUUAAUUAAA